rnacentral:tRNA from 1 species
GGGGUUCUAGCUCAUCGGUAGAGCGCUCGCUUAGCAUGAUCAGGUGGAUGUGCGAGAGGCGCUGGGUUCGAUUCCCAGGUACUCCA